UAUACUUCGGAGAUUGAAAUUGAGGAAGAAGAUGUUGUCACUAACAGAUGAUUUAAAGUGGAUCCAACUGGUAACUGAAUGAAGAAUCUGCUAUUUUUUGGAGAUCAAGAUGUAGAACCUUCAGCUGCUCCUGAACCAUGCCUGCCCAGAAGCUGCCACGCUUCCCGCCUUCAUGAUAAAGGACUGAAUCUCUGACCCUGUAAGCCAAACCAUCUACUGUGAAGAUCCCCCUGUAUCUGGCGAGUUUUAGUUUUAUUCUCAAUUCCUUGAGAUGCAGAGAUCAGGUCGCCCACACACUAGUAGUUAAAUAUGGAUUGUUUCGUUGAGGCGAAGCCCCACCACACCGGGAUCCUUAUUAUCACGUGAAGCAGCGAAGGAGGAAGGAACGUCGUCCUUGGGCGGUAACAGAGGAGCUGAUGAAGUCCUGUUUCUGAAAGCCUUGUCUCCUAAGACGGAAAACCUGGAGAGAGUACCUCAGUUUUCACUGAUGCUCACAAUAAGAUACCAAACACACACACACACACACACACACACACACACACACACACACACA
rnacentral:lncRNA from 1 species